GACGAACGCUGGCGGCGUGCUUAACACAUGCAAGUCGAACGGAAAGGCCCUGCUUUUGUGGGGUGCUCGAGUGGCGAACGGGUGAGUAACACGUGAGUAACCUGCCCUUGACUUUGGGAUAACUUCAGGAAACUGGGGCUAAUACCGGAUAGGAGCUCCUGCUGCAUGGUGGGGGUUGGAAAGUUUCGGCGGUUGGGGAUGGACUCGCGGCUUAUCAGCUUGUUGGUGGGGUAGUGGCUUACCAAGGCUUUGACGGGUAGCCGGCCUGAGAGGGUGACCGGCCACAUUGGGACUGAGAUACGGCCCAGACUCCUACGGGAGGCAGCAGUGGGGAAUAUUGCACAAUGGGCGGAAGCCUGAUGCAGCAACGCCGCGUGCGGGAUGACGGCCUUCGGGUUGUAAACCGCUUUCGCCUGUGACGAAGCGUGAGUGACGGUAAUGGGUAAAGAAGCACCGGCUAACUACGUGCCAGCAGCCGCGGUGAUACGUAGGGUGCGAGCGUUGUCCGGAUUUAUUGGGCGUAAAGGGCUCGUAGGUGGUUGAUCGCGUCGGAAGUGUAAUCUUGGGGCUUAACCCUGAGCGUGCUUUCGAUACGGGUUGACUUGAGGAAGGUAGGGGAGAAUGGAAUUCCUGGUGGAGCGGUGGAAUGCGCAGAUAUCAGGAGGAACACCAGUGGCGAAGGCGGUUCUCUGGGCCUUUCCUGACGCUGAGGAGCGAAAGCGUGGGGAGCGAACAGGCUUAGAUACCCUGGUAGUCCACGCUGUAAACGGUGGGUACUAGGUGUGGGGUCCAUUCCACGGGUUCCGUGCCGUAGCUAACGCUUUAAGUACCCCGCCUGGGGAGUACGGCCGCAAGGCUAAACCUCAAAGGAAUUGACGGGGCCCCGCACAAGCGGCGGAGCAUGCGGAUUAAUUCGAUGCAACGCGUAGAACCUUACCUGGGUUUGACAUGGAUCGGGAGUGCUCAGAGAUGGGUGUGCCUCUUUUGGGGUCGGUUCACAGGUGGUGCAUGGCUGUCGUCAGCUCGUGUCGUGAGAUGUUGGGUUAAGUCCCGCAACGAGCGCAACCCUUGUUCACUGUUGCCAGCACGUUAUGGUGGGGACUCAGUGGAGACCGCCGGGGUCAACUCGGAGGAAGGUGGGGAUGACGUCAAGUCAUCAUGCCCCUUAUGUCCAGGGCUUCACGCAUGCUACAAUGGCUGGUACAGAGAGUGGCGAGCCUGUGAGGGUGAGCGAAUCUCGGAAAGCCGGUCUCAGUUCGGAUUGGGGUCUGCAACUCGACCUCAUGAAGUCGGAGUCGCUAGUAAUCGCAGAUCAGCAACGCUGCGGUGAAUACGUUCCCGGG
rnacentral:rRNA from 1 species